CUCUAAUCUAACCGAAAGAUAUUGUUUAAAGGCAAUCUUAGGAAAAAUUGUAAAGAAAAAAAUAUGAGAACGAAAAACAAAACAUUGGCCAUUGCGGGAAUCGAACCACCAAUUAGCAGCAUGUUAGAUCGCACGCAACGCCCUAGACAAACACGCCACCGGCACACGCUGAAAUACAAGUGCAGACAAGGACGUCGCGAAGCCACCAACAUUGGGGGGGGGGGUGUCAUCAUGGUUUCACCAACAUUUCCUAGGAUUUUGACCAAGUCGUG